CACGCUGUAAACGAUCAAUACUAGGUGUGCGGGGACUGACCCCCUGCGUGCCGCAGUUAACACAAUAAGUAUUGCACCUGGGGAGUACGAUCGCAAGGUUGAAACUCAAAGGAAUUGACGGGGGCCCGCACAAGCGGUGGAUUAUGUGGUUUAAUUCGAAGCAACGCGAAGAACCUUACCAGGGUUUGACAUGGAGACGACAGGCGCAGAGAUGCGCUUUCCCUUCGGGGCGUCUCACACAGGUGG
rnacentral:rRNA from 1 species